rnacentral:lncRNA from 1 species
CCAGUAUUCACUAGAACAUCUCCCCUCUGCUCUUCUCCAAACUGGACCCUCAACUCCUCCCUUGACUAAUUCCAAUAAGGGGGUUGAGUGGGCACCACACUGUUUGAGCAGCCAUGCAAAAGCCAUCUAGAGGAGGACCAUGGCCCAACAAUGGCAGUGGGAGAGAAGAUGACUCUGUGGAGGACACUCUCCGUUAUCUGUGAUGACAUACACCAGCCCCCGAACAAUUUAACCUCAAGCUGCCCUCUGCAAGACUUCGGUAGCACUGGACUUCCCUCAUUCCUGAUGACAACUUCAGAAGAGGCAAAAUUUCCCCAGGAGAAAAGAAAACAGGAGGUCUUCAGUCAACAUGGAGUUUGAAGCCGCCCAUGGCUGAAGCUCAGAAUACUCUGGAGAGCUGAGAGUCCUUCUUCAGCGGCUGGGCCGUUCUGCAGCAGCUGCAGCCGCCUCUGGGCCUGGGCGUCCCGGUGGGCAGGCGUGCGUAGGUGUUGCAGCAAGGCUAGGCGGGAGGGCGUGUCCCAGGCGCACAACAGGCAGUGGUAAAGCCCGGGCUCCGGCCCUGCCUCUGCUCCCUCCAUUUCCAGCAGAAACUAGAAGCAUGGAAGAGGCCAGCUCAGAUGUAGAAGGCACACCUCCAGACCUCUGGGGGCUGUUCCUCCUCGCUUAGACUCUUUCAUGCCUGGGUGGCCUCCCUCCACCCUGCUAUGGCUUCCCAUCUGCUUCUCCUCUCCAUUUCCUUCUUUCUCCCAUCAGUCCUGGGUCCCCCAGUGUGUGGCUGGGAGUUGCUUCUGUCCUGGAUACCAUGAUGGCUGGACUGAGAUGGCCUCAUCCCUAUAGCAUGCUAGAACAGCUAAAUCAAGUCUGUUUCUCCUCCUCGGAGCCCACUGCCCUUUGGCCUCUCUCCAGGUCUGCCCAGCACUCUGCUACCCUGUUCUUCAUGUCCAUCACCACAGGUUUCUCCUCCACCUCUCUGCGCUGCGUCUCCCACCCUACCCUGUCCCUCCUCCCUCUCCCGCCCCCUCCUGCCUGAACGUCACCUUAUAGAUCUGGCUGUUUUCUUCGUGGGCUGAACCCCGGGUGUGCAGCUGCAUCUUCUCCUUGCUGUUGGACUCGAAGUCACAGAUGUUGCAGCGCAGGUGAAGUGGGGAGAUGGAGCCGUAAGAAGCCCCAUCCCCCAGGGCCAGUAGGGAAGGGGUGCCCAUGGCUCCGCCCCCCUCCCGGAGGUGGGCUGCUAGCUGGUAUUUCUGAGUGUGUUUGUCGGUCUUGAGGUGGAGCUGGAAGUUGGCCUUGAGCUGGGUGCCAUAGCAGCAGAGCUUGCAGCGGUGGGUAUCCCCAGCUACCUCCUUCCAUUCGGCCUCCGGCAGGCUCCGGCCAAUGCUGCAGUGGUACAGCAGCAGCUCCAGGCUGUCUGUGCUGAAAGCCUGGCACACCAGGCAGCGGAACACCUUCAGGGCUGGGCUGUCAUCUGGGGAUGGCGAAGUGGGCAGCCCAUCAGAUGAGGAGCCCAGGAGCUGACUUGGUGGCAGAUGGGUCUCAGGGGAGAGGCUGCCAGGGGCUGGGGGGGACAGAGACAGAUUAGGAAGAAAUGAGCGGGGCACUUAGGAUAAGCUGUGUUUACCUAAGUGGGGAGAUGACCUUUGGGAGAAGGCAGGGAAUACAAUUGGACUUGGGUACGAAGUGGCAGGAGCAGAGAGGGGACUUACCAGCUGUGGGGAACUUGCGGGCAGGCGCUCCAAGGUGGUGGAAACCAUUUAGGAGUAGCUGGGCUUCAAGGGGCUUGUCUGGCCUCAGCCCGGGCCCAGGCAUGGGUGUCUGAGGCUGUCCUAGGGCCUGGGGCCCAAAGUACUGGAAGAGUUCAGGAGGGUUGGUGGGGGCAGCCCCUGGUGGGGGAGGAGGUCCUGGCCCCACCAGCCCUGGUGGCAGGCCAAGUGGCAGCCCCUGGUGCAACAUCAGGACGUUCUGCAUGUGUUUCUCAGAAGUCAUGUGGAUGCGCAGGUUUCGGGAGAUGUUGGUUUCGUAGCUGCACACUUUGCACUGCCAGGAUGACUUGGUCUUGGGCUCUUUAUCCCCGACAGAGGUGGGUGGGAGGGAUGCCUCCGGGGGACUCGCCUGCCCGCCAGGCCCUGCCUGGAAGCCCUGCAGGUUGGCCAGGUGCUUGUCGGACUGCAUGUGGAUGCUGAGGUUGCCUUUGGUGGUGGUGGAGUAGUUGCAGACAUCGCAGCGGUAGGGCUUGUAGCCGCAGUUGUAGCUCUCUCCGCGGGCCAGGCGGGGGUGGGCGCCCCCGGCGCUACAGUAGCUGCAGUGGCUGUUGCUCUCGGGGUGCUUCUCCCGCAUGUGCACGUCCAGGGUCUGCUGGUACUUGUAGUGCCAGUUGCACUUGGGACACUUGAGAGUCUUGCAGGAAUUGCGUGAGUGUAGCAGGGACAUGUGACUGGACAGGCUGAGGCCCUGGAAGGCGGCAGGGGCUGGAGUGUAGUCAUCGGCCAGGCGACAGGACGGAGUCACUGUGCUGGUGUCCGGUACUUCGGGAGAAGGACGGGCAGCCAGAGACGGCGCUGAGGUAUCGUGGGACAACAUUUGGUCAGAAGAGCUAAAGCCUUGGAUUGGGUCGAAGCCAUGUUGGAUGUGAAGGGUGGAGUGCCAGCACAGGAGGAGGCACCAGCCAAGCUCAUGGUAUACCUACAGCGCUUCAGGCCUCUGGACUAUCAGCGCCUGCUAGAAGCAGCCAGUUCUGGUGAGGCCACAGGGGACUCAGCAUCCUGACAACAGCGUUCACUUUCCAAAAGGGAAGGUAACUCUGAAGCCGCCAUUCACAUCCGGACCCACGGUGCUCCUUUCCCUUACAACGGAGCCACUUUCCCCUCCAGCUCUGCCUGGUCUUUCGCCCACUCUGAGCUAUCCUUCCUGGAGCCCUCCCUGGCUGCUUCCCUCAUCCGUCAGAUGCAAUCUGUGGGCCGCCCCUCUCCCCUGGCCGCUAAGCAGCCUCCAUUGAUUUCCGCUCGUGUUUAUAGGAUUUCCACUUAGCCGUGAUCAGUAGUUAAGCACAGGAAAAUCCCUUGCCACCCCCCCCUCCCUUGGUCGAUGCCAUUGAUUCUGCCAGAGGCUCUGAAGCCGCCUUACAGCUGAGUUAGAGAUGAGGGGAAACAGCGGGGAUUUCCCUGCCCUGGGGUGUAGGGAAGAGCAAGAAGGUGGGGAAAAGGUUAGGAACUCCUUAAGGGAUCUAGAAAUUCAGGGCCUGCUGCUGUGCCGGGAGGGUAGAGUGCUCAGUGUGGCAGUUUAGAGAGAACAUUUGCUCUCCAACCCAGAGAGGGGUAGAAAGAAAAUGGUCAUUGUUGAGACCGGUUCCUAGGGUUUCAGGAAGUCAUACUUCCUGUGGAGAAGGCACCACCCUUGCUCUUAACACAUUUUUUUUUCUCUCAACUAGGUCAAAACAGGCCUCUCUUCCCUUCUCACGCUUCAUAGACUUUAUUUGUUGGGGAGGAGGCAGGCUCUCUAUAUUGCCUUGACAAAUAUAGGGUCUGAGUGCCACCUGCUGGUGGCCCUCAGGGUUGUGUCCCAAGCUGAGGGUGCAGAAAGAUUUGAGAGGAGCCGAGGCAGUUAUGAGGCAGGCAAGCUUAGGGAACAGGUUAGCAGCCUGGAACUCCACUUGGUUUGAGCUAUGCACACCUCUCAUCUCACUGCCACUUGGCAUCUUAGGACCCUCAGCUGCACGCACCAUGCACACACAUUCUUCUAACAGUGCAGCCAGGACCCCGCCUGUAUCGAGUAGCACUUAGAGCCCACUUCAGACAGUAAAUCUCUCUUUCCCCAGCAGCCAUCAAAACUCCCCUUCUGUGGACAGUUUUAUUCAAACACUUUAGGACAUACCCCAAAGUAGGGAGCUGAUUAGGCCUAAACGGGUUUGGGGUAACCUGUGAUCUUUGGGUGACCUUUUGAGGAGAACUCCCUAUGGACCGUCCUAUGCCUGUGCAGAAUGAGUUAGCUUAUGAUUAAAGUCAGCUGCAUCAUGGGAAGGGUUACGCACAGAGAAGAAAGGCUGACAGAAUCCAAGCCUGUCAAUGAAAACAGAGAAUCACUCAAAUUAUGCCACUUCACAGCUAACACCUUCGUUCCCUGAGACUUUAUUAAAGGAACACCGGGUGACUGCCCUGGGCUCUUAAGACUGUGGUCAUCACCCGUUUACAGAGCACUUCUAAUUUGUACGCUCAGUUUGCCUUUAAAUAAAGUUUACUUCGCCAUUUA